GUAAUUCCUACCCGGGAUCGGAGCCCCUCAAGUACCCUUUGGGGAACACAGCAUCCCAUCUCCCCUAAUAAAAGAUUUUGGUACUUGGCUGGGAAUGCCGGGGGGCAGUAACUGGGCCCAGAAGGGUGAAAACAUUUUGAGUGAUUGCCAUUGAGACGGGUUAAUCAACGUAAUCCGAACGCAUUAUAUAAAUUAUAGGAUCUUGCGGAAUGUGAGGACCGAACUAUAAUACGAAAAGUAUCCGCGGUAGUUUUUCCUUCGCGGAAAGAGAAGACAACCGAACCGGCUGCAAAAAGAAAACGAAUCCGAUGCAGUCGCCUUCGGGACAACCUACCCUUUGCCAGUGAGCGGAGAAGACAAAAUAACCACUUGUUCCGAGAUGUUCUGCUAUCAGGCCCGCUCUGGAGGAAAAAGAGACGGAACCGGCCUUCGGCCUGCCAGAAAUCUCCUUAUCAGAAGCGGAGCAUGCAAAUAGGAGAGGCGAGCGGGAUCACCAGGCACAAUAGGAGAGGCGGGGGUGGCACCCAGCCGCUCCUGAACUGCACUGAUCCGAGGAGCAGCCUGAGGGGGGGGGGAGAAAAAAAGAAACGAGAAGGAAUUAGGGGCGGACUGAAAAGACUGUAGCUGGCCGGGUUGUGGAAAAGACGAGGCGGCGAUUGAUCCCAAGAGCCGCGGGUCGGGCAGGUGGUUUCUCCAUGUGGAGCCUCCAACCUGGAAAAGAGCUCGGAGAAGGCGGCGGACUCCGGCGAUGACCCAGCUAAACGAGACCCCGACUUAUCCAUCUGCCAACACUGAUUCUAUGGACAGUAAUAUAGUGGCCAUUAUUAUAGCGACCAGAAUGUCCUCCUUCUUACUACAAUAGCAACCAGCGACUGGUGGGAUCCCAAUCUGGAGCACAGCGAAUGGAGACAGGUGCUGCUGAAAACACUGGUGUCCAGGGAAAUGAAUUGUUUUGUGUUGGAAGCCC